rnacentral:rRNA from 1 species
AACGUAGGAGGCAAGCGUUAUCCGGAGUUACUGGGCGUAAAGCGCGCGUAGGCGGCUUUGUAAGUUAGAGGUGAAAGCCCGGAGCUCAACUCCGGAAUUGCCUUUAAGACUGCAUCGCUAGAAUCAUGGAGAGGUGAGUGGAAUUCCGAGUGUAGAGGUGAAAUUCGUAGAUAUUCGGAAGAACACCAGUGGCGAAGGCGACUCACUGGACAUGUAUUGACGCUGAGGUGCGAAAGCGUGGGGAGCAAACAGG